AUUACAGCUAUCGCAAAUAAGCACUGAACAUGGAAGACUCUAGUGGCAGUGGUGUCUUGGACUCGUUUAUUCACUUCGCUCUACUUGCGGGUGCCGUUUUUCAGUUGGCUUGUAUAUUUGCGGUUGUGAUAUUCCCAAAGAGAAAAGAUGAAAUGGAAGAGAUAGAAGAAGAUGGUGCCCUUGAUGCAAAUGAACCACUGAGACAAGAAACAAGUAAUUCAGGAACUAAAAAACUGAAGGCAGACACAAAAAAGAAAAAGAGAUGAUAUCUUCAAACACAGUUAUAGGAAUAAAAAGUUUGUAUGUGUGUAUGGCAAUAUGGACCAGCAGUUAACCACUGAAAUGAACAAAAAGCCAAUUUCCUGUGUAUUUUGGAUAGAGCAUCAUCUAUGGGAACAUUUCUGUGGAGAGGCAAUACAUUUUAUACCACCUGCUGUCUUACUUACUUCCAUGCCUAAGCUUGUUGGGUCUUAUAUUAUAGAGAAUCUAAACUUUAUAAAGACAAUAGAGAGAGA